GAGAUUGUGGCUCAGUGGUAGAGCACUCACCUGGCAUGUGCAAGGCCCUGGGUUUGAUCCUCAGCAUCACA
rnacentral:tRNA from 1 species